GUACACGCUGUGACUAGCAUAUCAAUAAGCGGAGGAAAAGAAACUAACAAGGAUUCCCCUAGUAACGGCGAGUGAAGCGGGAAGAGCUCAAAUUUGAAAUCUUAAAGGGUUUCCCUUUACGAAUUGUAGUUUAAAGAAGUGUUUUCUGUUGAGGUUUUGGUAAAAGUUCUUUGGAAUAGGACAUCAUAGAGGGUGAGAAUCCCGUAUUUGACCUUUACUUUCAACUUUGUGAUACACUUUCAAAGAGUCGGAUUGUUUGGGAAUGCAGUCCAAAAUGGGUGGUAAAUUUCAUCUAAAGCUAAAUAUUGGCGAGAGACCGAUAGCGAACAAGUACCGUGAGGGAAAGAUGAAAAGAACUUUGAAAAGAGAGUUAAACAGUACGUGAAAUUGUCAAAAGGGAAGCGUUUGACACCAGUGUUGUUUUUCUGAAAAUCAAUUAAAGAACUGUUUAUGCUAAGUUGUUUAGACUUUAUCUAGCUAACUGUUUAGUUUUGAGCUUUUCUUUAAUGCACUUUUCAGUUAACAAGUCAACAUCAAUUUCUUUUGCUGUAAAAAAGCUUGAGGAAGGUGGCUUGAGAUUCGUCUUAAGUGUUUAUAGCCUCUUGCCUAUGCAGUCGGAGAGAUUGAGGUCUGCAGCGUAGAUCCUUCGGGGCUAAAUGCAUUUGUGCUAAGUUAUAGCAUUUUAUAGACAACUUGUUGACUAUGAUUUGUCUUGUAGCUUACUCGCUUAUGUUAUUUUACCUACGCUUAGGAUGUUGACAGCAGUAUAGACUGU
rnacentral:rRNA from 1 species